AGAAAAGAAUGGCAAUUAGACUUCACAGAACAUUGAAUUUAAGGAAAGGAUUUGUUAGUAAAUGUAGAGAGGAUGAAUAAACUCAAAAUUUUAACUCUUGUUAUCAUAAUAAUUAGCAUAUUUGUUUCUAAUGCACAGCAAGAUUUGAACAUACCAUUUAGAGAUGGAAAUGAAACUUGCCCGCUACCUACUAAAGACUGUGAAUUUUACUGCCAGAACAAAGGCUACAAAGGAGCCAAAUGUUGGCUUAUAUUAGUUUGUCUUUGUUUCAUAUGAGCUCUGUUUCUAAGAUUUUAAUAUUUCCUUAAUAAAUGUAAUAAGUUUUCA